AAAAAUUAACUGCAAACCAUAAAUAUUUGAUUCACAACAAGCAAAAACAAAAUGUUUUCCACAUAAUAUGUCAGCAUACAUUUGUAGACAUGCUGCUCAAAAUAAUGCAUUUUUGUCCACCCAUUCUAGGUUUUGUGUUCUUUCACACCUAAUAAUUCAAAAGUUAAUUAUAUUUUAUAACCAUAUCAAAUUAUAUCUUUCUCCGUUUGCGAACAUAUGUACUACCGAUCCCUGCAAAGAAACAACACCAGUAUUUUCUUUUUCAAUCAGGAUCUCCCUAACUGGUACAACCUGCAAAACAAAAAUGUUAGUCAGUGAUCAUGUGCUAUGUCCACUAAUGACAUUUUAAAUUUUGAAUUGUGAGCACUUACUUGGAUUCGGUCUUCCACCCAUGCAUCUUUUCCACCGGCAUCAUGGGACAACGUACGAGCCCCAACAGAUGCUGGAGCCCUAGCAUUGAACAUCU
rnacentral:lncRNA from 1 species